rnacentral:rRNA from 1 species
AUGAUGCGGGGCUCCAAGAAGAAGAAGAAGAAGUGGGACACGGGGAGGAGCCCGGUGUCCGAGCUCCCGGACGACCUCCUGGUCGAGAUCAUCUCGCGCUUGAUCUACAAGUCCACCUGCUGUUGCCAGUGCGUCUCCACGCGCUGGCGCGAUCUAAUCUCCCACCCGGACCACCGCAAGAAGCUUUCUCAGUCGACCCUCGCCGGCUUCUUCUUUGAAACAUGGGACACAAAAAAGGUUUCUCGUCGUUACCAAAGCGUCUCCGGGAACUGGCGCCCUCCCAUCAACUCCUCCCUCUCGUUCCUGCCGCGAUGCGAGAAACUCCACAUAUUGGACUGCUGCAAUGGCCUCCUCCUCUGUAAGUGCUGGCAGGACACUGAUCGCAAGAUACUUGAUUACGUGGUGUGCAAUCCGGCCACCGAGAAGUGGGUGGUCGUGCCUGCCACAAACUGGUCCAGCAAGUUGUACAAAGCUCACCUGGGGUUCGAUCCAGUGGUCUCAUCACACUUCCAUGUUUUUGAGUUCGUACCUACCUAUGUCUGGGAUGGGGAUAAGAGUGGUGAUCAUAGUCAAAGAUACAUCAAAGUGGUGGGAAUCUACUCUUCCAAAGCUGGAGUUUGGACACGUCAGCGCGCAUGGGACCUUCCAAUUGAAACAGUCCACUUUAUAGGUAGCGCAUUUUUGACCGGGAUCCUGUAUUUAACUUCCAAUAAUGAUUUGGUUGCGACCGUUGACGUGGAUGGAAAUUGCAGUUCCGUUCGUGUUCCUAAACCACACUGUCCCGGUUGUGCUUAUGAUGUUUAUGUAUCACGGGGCCAUUUGUAUAUCGCAAAUUGUGAUGCUUCUGAAAUAUCAAUCUGGGUUUUAGAAGAUUUUAGCACUGCAAAAUGGACAUUGAAGCUCAAUGUCAGCUACGAGCUACUGUUUGGAACAAGGUAUUCAAGCCAUGAUGAUCAUUGCUGUGUUAUCUCAGCUCACCCAGAACAUAAUGUCAUAUUCAUAAUUGUAAAAUAUACUUUGUAUUGGCGUUCACUGGUGGAACUAUUUUCCUACGAAAUGGAUUCUAAGGAGCUGCGUUUGAUAUGUGAUCUUGGACGGGAAUCCAGCUUCCCUUAUCUUUCAUACGUUCCAUUGUUCUCAGAGUCAUUGGCAGAUGAACACUAA